UAGGGAAUCUUCGGCAAUGGACGCAAGCCUGACCGAGCAACGCCGCGUGAGUGAAGAAGGCUUUCGGAUCGUAAAACUCUGUUGUUAGAGAAGAACAAGGACGUUAGUAACUGAACGUCCCCUGACGGUAUCUAACCAGAAAGCCACGGCUAACUACGUGCCAGCAGCCGCGGUAAUACGAAGGUGGCAAGCGUUGUCCGGAAUUAUUGGGCGUAAAGCGAGCGCAGGCGGUUGGUUAAGUCUGAUGUGAAAGCCCCCGGCUCAACCGGGGAAGGUCAUUGGAAACUGGGAAACUUGAGUACGGAAGAGGGGAGUGGAAUUCCGUGUGUAGCGGUGAAAUGCGUAGAUAUAUGGAGGAACACCAGUGGCGAAGGCGGCUCCCUGGUCUGUAACUGACGCUGAGGCUCGAAAGCGUGGGGAGCAAACAGG
rnacentral:rRNA from 1 species